ensembl:lincRNA
GCCUUUGAGCUUCUCAGUGCUGUGACUGUGUCCUGCUCCUCUUUAUACCCAUCUUCCCUGUGGGUGUGGCCUCCAGAAAAGGAAAUUGGAAAGAACGUGGAACUCUCAACAACGAAAGCAAUGAAGCUGCCUUGCUUAAGGAGGAAAAGAUGGUGGUGACCAAGUUUCCAACCUUGCUGGGUGGGACAAGGGCAGAGAGGAGCACCCAGGACCCUUCACUCAUGUG